AAUAUAGUAUAGUAGUAGUCUCUCGGUAACUGAGGAUGACUAUUGUCUUUGUGUGUUUUUGUGCACAAAGAUACUUGUGCAUGAAGGAGAUUUAAGUGGAAAAGUCGAUGCACAGAGACAGUCCCACUCUCUCAGCGUUGGAAGCCUGGGUCCAGUGGCACGAAAAGUCAUUACACCUGGAGACUUCCUCAGCUGCAUUGGAUGGCUGUGUUGUCUUUUGUGCUCCAACAUGCCCUAAGCACUCCACAGUGCUUUGUUGCGUCGCCAUCUCAGCCGUUGAACCUUCUUGGUUCUUCCUUCUGGUUUCUUCCAUCUAUUCUGCUGAAGCAGUCUUCACAUGCUGGAUUCUGUCUUGGCUCACAUCCAACCUUUGAAAGUGCGGUUCAGAAAACUUGCCGGGCUGCACAUAACCCACAUUCCUCAGGUAAUGUAAUUCUGGACCCAAAUAGAUUCCAGAAGUCUGAUCUCCCAAGAUGGGGCCCUCAUCCUGGGCUGUCUCUAAGCUCUCAGGCUCUGGCCCACCCCUUUCCUCUCCCUCCCACUUUCUCCAUCCCUCCAGGCGGAAAGGGUUAAGCAGUCAAUUAUAGAGCUUACUGAGUCUAGGGAACAGCUUCCUGAGACCCAGGUUGCAGAGAUCUGAACCAGUUGACGCACCCUGUGAUUGGAGAAUUUGUUUCAUGUUCUGGAUAAAGUCCGAGAAUUUACCCUCCAAAAUUCCUUGGAUUUAGUAACAUGUCAAUGCAUUGUGUUAAUGCAAGUUUUUUUUUUUUUAAAGGUUAAAAGCCGCCUUCCUUUUUAAGUAUGAGUAAUCCAUCCAAAUCCUCCUGAAGGGAACAAAAGGGGUGCCGGUAAUUUUCUCUUUCACAAAAUGCAGAGACUUCCUCUCUGCGCUCUCAAAGUACUAUUCUAUGAACUGAAGGGAAAUUACACUCCUCACCAUUGAAAAAGAGAUUAUGCAAAAUGGGAAGGUAAAGCCAGCAGCCAUAAUAUCAAUACAAAUACCGGCUUAAUGUGCUGCUUACAAGGGGACAAGCUUGCCCAUUCCAGAUGUGCAUACUUGCAUCUGUAUGUUUAUUAAUUCUUUCAAAAAUUAUUUCUAUUAUCUAUGAUGUCGGAAGAACUAAAGCUUCCUUAGGAAGAUCAAAGUAAAACAAAAUAUGACUUCAGGUAUGUUUGAGGUAAUAGAAGGAGUUCAGAUUUGUGGCACAGUUUAGAUUCUCCCCAGUGUACAUGGGGGAACACUUACUUUGUACCACCCUGUGAGGUAGCCAGUGAAAGUUUUAUUUCCUCUAUUUUUCUGAAAAGAAGAUUCAAAUGCCUCGAGGUUAAGUAAUUUGUCUAAGGUCACAACUAUGAAGUACUAACUAAGACUGAAACCCAAAGUCUUCUAACUUAUGUCCAGGGAAUUUUUCAAUAUUGCAGCAUUGGUGAACCUUUUAGAGACUGCAUGCCCAAACUGCACCUUCAAGCUACCUGGGUCCCCCACCCCUGCCACAAUACCCCACAGAGUGAAGGGAAGAAGUGCUCACAUUGGUUUGCUGAACAGAGGAGUGGAACAUGCAAAAAAUGUCCUCAGCUACUUCUGUGGCAUAUGUGCUACAUCUUUGCCAACAGAACCCUAUGAUGUCAAUCUUGUUGGUUUCUUCCAUUGAUUAUCGUUGAUUAUGAGAAGCCUCCAUUUAAAGACCUGUCCAAGGAUUGUCUUUCUGAUAUUUAGAUAAGUUGGUAAAUAGAGCAUUGGGACUGGAGCCAGGAAGAUGCAAGUUCAAAUUCCACUGGAAACAUUUCCUUGCUGUGUGAUCUUGGGUAAGUUAUUUAACACUGUUAGUUUCAUUUUCUUGUAUAAAAAUGAGUACAAGGGGCAGCUGGGUGGCUCAAUGGACUGAGAGCCAGUCCUAGAGAUGGGAGGUCCUCGCUUCAAAUCUGGCCUCAGACAUUUCCUAGCCAGGUGACCCUGAGCAAGUCACUCAACCCCCAAUGCCUAGCCCUUACUGCUCUUCUGCCUUGGAACAAAUACAUAGUAUUGAUUUAAAGACAGAAGGUAAGGGUUAAAAAAAAAGGAGUACAAUAUUUCAAUAGUAGUACUUGUAUUUUAUUUUAUGAAUUUAAAAGCAUUAUUAUGGGAAGGGGGUUUAUUGGCUUUAUCAGAAAACCAAAGGAAUCUGUGAAACCAGCAAAGUGAAGAAUCAUUCUGCUAGGUCUUUUGACAUUUCUUAAAUACGAACAGAACACUUAAGAGGUUCAUCUUUUAUCUCUGACUCUUAUCACCCUGAUUGGUCCUUCCUUUUUUGGACAUUUCUUCACUGAUGCCCCUUAUGCUACUCUAUCCACCUAAGUUAUGAUUGGAAAUAUGUUGCGCUUUACUUGUACCCACCAUAUAUCCAUUAUCCAUUGACAUAGUUGGAACUUUAAUGCCUCAGAGACCACAGCCUUCAAAGAUCCCUAGCCAUCUAAUAUCAGUGAUAGGCCAUUCAUGUGGGUAAAGAAAAGUCUUUAUUCUAGAGGUCCAGUUGAGAUCAGUUAUAGGAUUCUGCAGUUUUCCAAAUACAAUCCAACCAGCUCUUCUUCUCCUAUUGAUUUCUAGGUCCAAUUUAUUGUCCAUCUUCAAUGCUUGUCCCAGAUGUAUGGAUUGUUACUCCAAUCUGUUUUCAAUAAUCGUGGAUCCCAUUGGGAAGGCCAUGUAAUUUUCUAGAACUUAGUGUAAUCAGCACAAAGUCAUUUACAAAUAGGAACUGGAGAGAAUUCCUUUUCUAUUUUCCUUGUGUGCAAGAUGUCCUAUAAAGCAGUCCUAUAAACACCUUGGGGAAGCAUACAUAUCCAUAUUUUAUGCCUAAUAAUCAGUGAACAAAGUUAUCUCUGCAUUUUCAUUGAUCAAGGAAUAUUGUGUGACAUUAACAUGUGCAUGUGAAGCUUCUUAUAGGAGAAGAGCUUUUAAAAUCACAUUUUCCUCUACCAAUUCAAAGACUUUCUUUGGAAUAAGUAAAUAGUUAACAAACAAAACGUAAUCUUACACAUUACCAUUGCUCUUUCCCUGCCUUCCACUCCUACCCCAGGUAUUCUUUGAUCUAUUGGCACUGGUCUUCUUGGUAUUUUUUUCAAACUAGUAAUGCCAUGUUUUGGUGAUGGCCAUUUCCCCUAGGAGUCCCCCUUGCCUGGAAUGCUCUCCCUCUUCUGUCUCCUGGCUUCCCUAGCUCUCUUCAAGUCCCACCUUAAAUCUGUCCUCUACAGGAGGCCUUUCUUAAUUCCUUUUAAUUCUAGUGGCUUUCCUCUGUUGCUAAUUUCCUAUUUAUCCAGUUUAUAGCUUGUUCAUAUACAGUUUAUGCUCUCUCCCCUAGUAGAUUGUGAAAUGAGAGCCUUUCUGUGUGUUUAGUACAUAAUAGUCACUUAAUAAAUGCUUGCCAACUGACA
rnacentral:lncRNA from 1 species